CUGCCAUCAAAGAGACAUUUGUGUACCCGGACAGAGCUCCCAGCUGAGCCCAGAGGCACAAAGAUAACAGAAUAUUAAACGAGGAAAGACUGGACACCGCAACUUCCCCACUGGUUCUGAUUGGAAGACUAAGGGAGAGGUCACAGAAGAUCAAUACAACAAAGUUCUCUUCCCUGAACCUGGG
rnacentral:lncRNA from 1 species